AUAGCGUAUAUUAAAGUUGUUGUGGUUAAAAAGCUCGUAGUUGAACCUUGGGCCUGGCCGUCCGGUCCGCCUCACCGCGUGCACUGGCACGGCCGGGCCUUCCCACCGCGGAAUCGCAUGCCCUUUACUGGGCGUGUCGGGGAAGCGGUACUUUUACUGUGAAAAAAUUAGAGUGCUCUAAGCAGGCCUAUGCUCGAAUACAUUAGCAUGGAAUAAUAGAAUAGGACAGGCGUUCUAUUUUGUUGGUUUCUAGGACGUCUGUAAUGAUUAACAGAAACAAUCGGGGGCGUCAGUAUUGCAUCGUCAGAGGUGAAAUUCUUAGAUCGACGCAAGACUAACUACUG
rnacentral:rRNA from 1 species